rnacentral:rRNA from 1 species
UGCUCAGGCGGACUUGUAAGUCAGAGGUGAAACUCCGAGGCUCAACCUCGGAACUGCCUUUGAUACUGCAAGUCUCGAGUACGGGAGAGGGUAAUGGAAUAACAGGUGUAGCAGUGAAAUGCGUAGAUAUCUGUUAGAACACCAAUGGCGAAGGCAGUUGCCUGGCCCGUUACUGACGCUAAAGCACGAAAGUGUGGGUAGCAAACAGGAUUAGAUACCCUGGUAGUCCACACCCUAAACGAUGAGAACUAGUUGUUGGCCCUUUUAAGGGUCAGUGACUUAGCUAACGCAUUAAGUUCUCCACCUGGGAAGUACGAUCGCAAGGUUGAA